rnacentral:rRNA from 1 species
GUACACACCGCCCGUCGCUACUACCGAUUGAAUGAUUUAGUGAGGCCUUCGGACGGGCUCGUCGGGGGCCGGGUGAUGGGGAGCAAUCCCUUGAUCUUGGCCCUGAUUUACGGCGAGACUGAAAGAUGUCCGAACUUGAUCCUUUAGAGGAAGUAAAAGUCGUAACAAGGUUUCCGUAGGUGAACCUGCAGAAGGAUCA